rfam:Bacteroidales bacterium Barb4 Barb4_contig_8, whole genome shotgun sequence.
CUUCAUCGGCUUGCUGGGGUGAAAUGUAGUGUACGUGCGUGUCGAUGCCUCCGGCAGUAAGUAUCUGCCCUUCGCCUGAAAUGACUUCGGUAAUGGUUCCGAUAAUCAGUCCGGGCGUUACGCCGGGUUGAAUGUGCGGGUUUCCAGCUUUGCCUAUGCCGCGUAUUUUCCCGUUUUUAAUACCGAUGUCGGCUUUGUAAAUGCCUUUGUAGUCAAUAACGAUUACGUUGGUUAUGACGGUAUCCAGCACUUCAUCAUCACGAAAUCCUGCCGCCUGUCCCAUGCCGUCGCGAAUG